GCAGAGGAACUGUUGAGAGUGGCCAGAGAAUGCCAAGUAGAUGGAAAAGUAGUCUUGUGUUAGCGACAAUGCAGCUAACAUAACCAAAGCCAUAAAUGUUUAAAUGGACCUAUCAUCCAUGUCUUGCCCACACAAUCAACCUGAUUGUAAGAGAUGCUCUGAAGGUGAUGAAGCCCACUGUGGACAAAGUGAAAGCAGCUGUGGAAUACUUCCACAGCAGCACAGUAGGUGCUGAAAAACUAAAGUCUACACAACGCCGGAUGGUGAUAGCCGAGCUGAGGCCUAAACAAGACUGCACUACAAGGUGGAAUUCAAAAUUUUAUAUGUUUAAGCGGUUUCUUGAGUCAAAGGAUGCCAUCAUCUCUACCAUGGCCAUUGUCAAUGCACCUGUUGAUGCUCUGACCCAAGAGGAAUGGGAGGUGGUGGAGGAGGUGUGCAGAGUCCAGGAACCCUUUGAGCAGGUCACUGGAGAGCUAUGUGACAGCCUCAAAUUAUAUUCCUGUGACAGGGUCUGCAGCGAAUCACAGCCAGCCGCUAGAGAGAAGCAAAUGUAACCACAGGACAUGCGACAGAGUUGAUGGACACCCUAUUUUCAUCAAUGGACAGAAAGUUCCACAGAAUGGAAUAUAAUCACGUGCUAUCUGAAACUGCUGCACUUGACCCCAGGUUUAAGAAGUUAGCCUUCAGUGAUGCCAGAGCGAUUGAUGAGGCUCUUCAAAGAAUAACCUCAGCAGCAGGGAGGGACAGCCCCAGCAGUCAGUUGGCUCAGGCACCAGGGCAACAGGAAGAAGAGGGAUCAGAAGGAGCAGAAGCACCAGCAGUAGUGCCACACAUAUCUGCUGUUUGGAUGCUGUUUGACGAGAGAGAAACUGGGGAUGCAGCACGAAGGAUCUCUCAGUAGAUGCCAUAAUGGAGGUCCGAUCCUAUUUGGAGGAGCCCCCUCCAAAGAUCUGCAGAUCCUCUGAGCUGGUGGAAGAACAAGGCCUCUGUCUACCCACGGCUUACUAAAGUCAUGACAGGGAGACACUGCAUAGUGGCCACAUCGGUUCCCUCUGAGAUUGUCUUCUCGAAAACGGGACAAAUAAUUACUGAGAGAAGAAACCGCAUCAGCCCCUCAAGUGAAGCAGCUUGCAUUUCUGAAUGCAAAUCUCUCAUAAAAGCAAAAUAUGGUCAGCAUUGCUGUGUGCUGCUGGUUAUAACAUGGCACUAAAGAAGAGCGAUAAGAGGGACUAGUUUAAUGUUUUAAGUGGGUUGCUGCAGUUAUGCACAUUUAUUUAUUUAUUUGAUAUUGUGCAAUAUUCUAUUAUGUUCAGAUUGUAUUAGUUUUAAAUGGUUAGAUUUAUGCACUUUUUAUAUACAUUAAAGUUAUACUUUAAAUGCAAA